ACCGCCACUAUCGCUACGGUAUGUACUGUCUGGCCGGGUCUUACCUCUUGGUGAACCGGCGUGCUCUUUACUGGGCGCGUCGGCGAACCAGGACUUUUACCUUGAGAAAAUUAGAGUGUUCAAAGCAGGCUUACGCCCGAAUACAUUAGCAUGGAAUAAUAAAAUAGGACGUGCGGUCCUAUUUUGUUGGUUUCUAGGAUCGCCGUAAUGAUUAAUAGGGAUAGUUGGG
rnacentral:rRNA from 1 species